GACGAACGCUGGCGGCGUGCUUAACACAUGCAAGUCGAGCGGUAAGGCCCUUUCGGGGGUACGACGAGCGGCGAACGGGUGAGUAACACGUGGGUGACCUGCCCUUAGCUCUGGGAUAAGCCUGGGAAACGUGGGUCUAAUACCGGAUAUGACUCCAUGACGCAUGUUGUGGGGUGGAAAGCCUUGUGCGGCUAGGGAUGGGCCUGCGGCCUAUCAGCUUGUUGGGUGGGGUGAUGGCCUACCAAGGCGACGACGGGUAGCCGGCCUGAGAGGGCGACCGGCCACACUGGGACUGAGACACGGCCCAGACUCCUACGGGAGGCAGCAGUGGGGAAUCUUGCGCAAUGGGCGAAAGCCUGACGCAGCGACGCCGCGUGGGGAUGAC
rnacentral:rRNA from 1 species